rnacentral:tRNA from 1 species
GCCGAGGUAGUGUAGCUUGGUUAGCACAGGGGCCUGUGGAGCCCCUAGCCCGGGUUCAAAUCCCGGCUUCGGCC